AGGUCCGAAGAUUAGGAUAAGAGCUUUUGUGGAAGGCGGAGCUGGAAUCUGCUGUGGCGCGAACAGAGGAGCUGUGGCGAGGAAGGACUUGGUGUUCGAGCCUCUCUCUGAGGACUCGCACAGGCUCUGGUGCCAGAAGCUCGGGGAUUACAUCGAUUCUCUCGGUCAGAUUUUAAAGCAGCUAUCAUAGAUAAGUAGCAGGGAGGUUCUAACUUCUAAGUUUAAACAAGAGCUCAAUAACAAACAGGAUGGAUGGUUCUGGUAGUGGUAGUGGUAGCCAAUCACAAUCUACUAGUACACCUAGGAUCUCGGUUUUAGUAAAACGAAAACCACAGUACAUUCGAAC